rnacentral:rRNA from 1 species
UACGUAGGGUGCAAGCGUUAAUCGGAAUUAUUGGGCGUAAAGGGCUCGUAGGCGGUCUGUCACGUCGGGAGUGAAAACUCAGGGCUUAACCCUGAGCCUGCUUCCGAUACGGGCAGACUAGAGGUAUGCAGGGGAGAACGGAAUUCCUGGUGUAGCGGUGAAAUGCGCAGAUAUCAGGAGGAACACCGGUGGCGAAGGCGGUUCUCUGGGCAUUACCUGACGCUGAGGAGCGAAAGUGUGGGGAGCGAACAGG